rnacentral:rRNA from 2 species
UGGACCUCAGAUCAGGCAAGAUACCCGCUGAGUUAAGCAUAUC